GACGAACGCUGGCGGCGUGCUUAACACAUGCAAGUCGAACGGAAAGGCCCUGCUUGCAGGGUACUCGAGUGGCGAACGGGUGAGUAACACGUGGGUGAUCUGCCCUUCACUUCGGGAUAAGCCUGGGAAACUGGGUCUAAUACCGGAUAGGAGCCAUUUUUAGUGUGAUGGUUGGAAAGUUUUUUCGGUGUAGGAUGAGCUCGCGGCCUAUCAGCUUGUUGGUGGGGUAAUGGCCUACCAAGGCGGCGACGGGUAGCCGGCCUGAGAGGGUGGACGGCCACAGUGGGACUGAGAUACGGCCCAGACUCCGACGGGAGGCAGCAGGGGGGAAUAUUGCACAAUGGGCGCAAGCCGGAUGCAGAGACGCCGCGUGGGGGAUGACGGCCUUCGGGUUGUAAACUCCUUUCGCUAGGGACGAAGCUUUUUGUGACGGUACCUAGAGAAGAAGCACCGGCUAACUACGUG
rnacentral:rRNA from 1 species